UACGUAGGGUGCAAGCGUUGUCCGGAAUGAUUGGGCGUAAAGCGUCCGCAGGUGGCUAUGUAAGUCUGCUGUUAAAGAGUGAGGCUCAACCUCAUAAGAGCAGUGGAAACUACAUAGCUAGAGUGCGUUCGGGGCAGAGGGAAUUCCUGGUGUAGCGGUGAAAUGCGUAGAUAUCAGGAAGAACACCGGUGGCGAAAGCGCUCUGCUAGGCCGCAACUGACACUGAGGGACGAAAGCUAGGGGAGCGAAUGGG
rnacentral:rRNA from 1 species